CUGCAUUUUAUAAUUUUUUAAGGACAUUUCAGUCACACAGAGUUUAUUCAACCAGCUGACCCACAUAUUUCCCAUCAAAUAAUACAGUCUACAUGUGGUGGACUACAUGUCUUUGUUUCAGUCGGCAGUCACGUCAUUCUCUAAUGUUUAUACCUGAUAAGACCAUCAGACUCUGAUAUAUCAAAUUGUAUAUUUUCCUGUUUUAUUUGGUAUUUUUCCUUGCAGCGUGUAUAAGGAUCACUGGACACAGAAUAUUAACCACCUGUAGAAUGCUGUUCACGUAUAUAUUGUGCUUCACAGACUGUAUUUCUGACACUCGCACAAUGUGGCUGAAUCCCACUGAAUAACACAAAGAGUCUGUGUGUCGAAGGUGAGAAAGGAUUUCGCUCUGAGAGAGACAAAGCAAACCCCUCAACACUCAGACACAAGUCCCGGCAUCGUGUACUUGAUAUUCAUCGUGUUUCUCUGGGAGCAUCUUGUUGAUGGAAUAUGGACGGCGCCCUGCAUGCUCUCCGCAGAGCCUACUGCCCCGACUCCGACAAGCAUCUCCCUUUUAUCUCGCCACGCUCCACGGGGAGGUCAAAGUUCACCAUCAGCAACAGAACAGCCACCCUGGAGCUGCAGGAGUCGUCCAGCUCCAGCAUCUCGCUGCUUGCGGAAAAGUUCAGCAGUGUGUGGACCCCAGAGCUUCACUUAUGAUCCGGUGUAUGUUCAUGUGCAUGUGUGUGCAAAUCAUUAGAGCGCUCGCCUAAUGAUGCUGCUUAUAAAGCAGGACGAAAUGAGGUGAAGAGCCCACUCACAGAUUUAGCGGCUGACGACAAAUGGAUGUGACCUUGGCAGACGUUAUGGAAAAGCGGUGAAGUCGUAGUGAGCGGUGUUGGAGCUGCAAGCAGUGCUGCUCACUCAUCACAUCCAGGUAUUGUUCACAGGCACUUAAAGGCAAAGAAGACUGUUAGUUUACAGCAGCGUCUGCUACUGUGCUUUACAAACGUUCAGCUCAUGAAUAACACCUCAUUUGAAUAUUCCCAGUGUAUUUCCAUGGAAACAGAUUUCAUACCACCAAAAAAAAAACAACAACAGUAAGGUGAUUACAUGCUUCAGCAUCCUAUAUAAAUUAAUAAGUACCCCGUCACAGAUGUAGUUCUAUGUACAUUUUGGCGCAUUAAUCACUUUGGGAACUGUAGAAGUCAUGAAAACCUCCCUUUUCCUCCAAAUAAGACCCUGUGAGACACAAGUCUUAUAAAUCUUUAUAGAUAGAGUCGUAUUGUGUGUCUCAUAUUCUGGCAGGAUGUAACUAAAAACCAGAAUUAAGAACAGUGUGUUCCCUUUUGCUUCCAGUUGAUUUUUUAAAAAACACUGUUUUGGCCAUUUUUUCAUUUAACUGCAGCACUUUUUAUUUGCUGAAUUACCAGCGGAUCAGCCAAAGAAAAUAUGAAUCCAAGUUUGUUUCCAGUGUUAUUUUCAGGAGCGUUAUAUUCUCCUCGUCGGUCCGCGUGAUGUUGUCCUCAGUGGAAGCUUUACUGAAGCAGUCACAUGGCUGUCUACCUACCGAGUCUGUUUUCAUUACAUUUCGGCUCAUUAUUCGUCACUUACCGAGCAAAAAAACCCUCUUUUUAUUUUUUGUUUGUGUUUAAUUUUGAUAUUUUUUAAUGGGCACUUAAAAAAAUUACCCAAACACAAAGAUGAAGACACAGUUUCUGUUUGCUGUGCACAGGAUGCUGCAGAUCUGAGGCAGCCUUGUUGUAGCAGGUUUUCUAAUUUUGCCUGCGUUUGAUUAAGACCGAGUCAGACUUAGAGGAAUAGUUUGACAUUUUGCAUUAAUUUGCGGUAGAAAAUGAGCGCUGGUGAGGAAAAUAAAAGCACCCCCGCGGCUUGAUGAAAUGCAAACCGUGAUGAUGUGCCUCUAAAUGUGGCAGUUUAUUGGAGAAAGGUUGGCAAAAUGAGGCCAUGUACAGACUGAAGGACGUGCCGAGGAAAGAGAAAGAGACACGUGGGCGACUAUCAAAGCCACAUAUACAGCGAGCUUAAUGUAUGUGUGUGUGCUCGCGUCUGUUUGUAUGCAUGAAUAAGCAAAUGGCAUGUGUUCACUUCCACCAGCUUGCUUGUGAAUGCCAAGACUCUUUUUUUUUUAAUGACCAAUAAUAAACGCCACGUAUGCACAAACACGAGUGUACAAUUUAUAAAAUCAAAUUGCUGGUUUAUCAAACUACAAUCACUUCCAGCGGUCUGAAGGACCGUGGGGACUGGGUUUCUUUUAUUCAGGAAAUGUGUACCGAGACAAGUCGCGGACUACUAAUGAAACAGUUACUGCAGAAAAGUGAACCGACCUCCAUCUGCAGGGAAACACAGAUUUAGAGGGCAGAUGUACAGAUGUGAUGGUUUCAGGCUCUGAAUGCAUCUGUCUACAAUAAUUCAUAUUAUUAAUAAAGCCGCCGCAGUCUGAUAAUCUCCAGCGCCGAGUGAAACAAGAACAGAACAGUUAAUCAAUCUGUUUUUUUUUUUCCAUAUGCAGCAUACAGCGAGCUAUUAGUCAUACUUGGAAAGUCAAGUUCCAGGAAGUGAAAGCAGAACCGCUUGAAGUUUGCGAAGAGAAAUUAAGGGACUUCUCUCCGAGCAGGAUCAGAAGCACACACACACAGAUAAGUUUGGUGAAGUAGAUCAAAAACAUCUCACUGAUCUUCAUCUGAGCGCUUUCACUUUGAACUGUUUUGUUUUGUUUUUGCUCUAUGUGGGAAGUUGCACCGCAGCAAAGCAGCGGCUGGAAGGAAACGAUCACGUUGUCCGUCCGUCCGUCUCUACGGGAGCUGCAGCCACCUCCACAAAAUCAGGCUCUGCUUCGUACAGCACAGCAGAACAAUCACUGGUUUAAUAAUCAGGUGCAAUGAUCAGCAGUUUCCAUGUUGUGGACACAUUAAAGUUCAUUUCAUGACUUGUUGACACUGCAGCUUUUCACAGUCGCUGCAGGCCAGAGGCCGGGAGAGGAGAGAGAAAACUCUCCACCAAACACAAAUCUCCAGAUGAUUGCCAGGAAAACAUCAAUACUCUUCUGUGUAUCAUGGAUUUGUGAGUCACUGUACACAGUAAACAUUCAGGUAGAUUGUUCACCUGCACUGUUGUAUUGUUUGAUUGGGUAUUCCUUUUAUUUUCUUAAUAAUGCUAAUAAUGCUUAAUGCUUCCUCGUGUUUUGUGACUGUAAUGACUCACUUUAAUCUGCACCGAUUUCAUCCCCCCGACAAAAUCUUCUGUCUUUAUGACUGAACACGUUUUCUAUCUUCUCUUCUCUUAUUUUUCUAAAUGUGGCACUUGAGGCAAUUUAGCACAUUUAAUAAAGAUUCUUGCGUGAUUUGGGGUUGUAUCCACACAAACAGAUGACCUUCUCAUAAAUACGCUUCUCUUAUAAUAAAACGUUCCUCGUGUUAUUGCCUUUCCUUCAUUAAGACUUCAUUUAUGUCUGAGCCACUUUUCCAAAUCUAAGCUGUGUCUGAAUUCAGGGUCUGCAUCCUUCGAAGGACUCGGCCUUUGCGGUCAUUGAAGGCGAGUCCUUCAGAGAGACCUUGUUAACCUCGUCAGCUGUUAAAUGUGACGGUCUAGCCUUUGGAGCAUUUCCUGGUUGCAUCACAAGAUGUUUUACCCUUACGUCACGAUUUCUGCCAUCCAGACCCGCGAAAGUGACGAUCUACGCCACGUGAUGUCGCCAUUUUCUUUCUUUCUUUCUUUCUUUCUUUCUUUCUUUCUUUCACUCUUCUUUUUCGGGCGCGCAAAGACUCUUGGGAUAUGUGAAGGAUAGUAGUGGUGCAUCCUCCAAAAACAGGGAAAAGAAGGAGCAUUUGGAGGAGCCUUCAAAUUGGGACGGCCUUCGUGCAGCGUUGUGACAUAAUUGGCCUUCAAAUGCUCCUCCGAAGGAAGCAGACCCUGAAUUGGGACACAGCCAUAGAGAUGACCUCUAAAUUUACAUAUUAACUACUUCUUUGGAAUAAAUCUUAUUUCAAAAGCAACUUUUUAGUACUCGAAUGGCCGUGAAAGAUCGGAUUGCUUCAGUUUAAACCUUCAGAAACACUUUCUAUGUGUCCAUAAUGCAAUAUAACACAUCAUGAAGAUACUUACGUAACCAUACGCCUGAUUGCCUGUAAGGUUGUAUAAUCGUAGUUAUAGGCACUUGUGAAUAUUCAAAAUGCUUUAAAGCAAUUGUCAUAACUCAUUAUGGCACUGAAACGUACUUAAAAUUAAU
rnacentral:lncRNA from 1 species